CAGAUACAGAUACACAAACAAAAAUUUUUAAAAAUAUUAUUUUAAAAGUACAUUUUUGGAGGUUGGGGUGGAUGUAAUGUUGGGGUGGAUGUAAUGUCAGGGGGUGGAUGUAAUGUCAGGGGGUGGAUGUAAUGUUGGGGUGGAUGUGAUGUCAGGGGGUGGAUGUAAUGUCAGGGGGUGGAUGUAAUGUUAGGGGUGGAUGUAAUGUUGGGGUGGAUGUAAUGUUGGGGUGGAUGUAAUGUCAGGGGGUGGAUGUAAUGUUGGGGUGGAUGUAAUGUCAGGGGGUGGAUGUGAUGUCAGGG
ensembl:lncRNA